CUUGGAGAGGUAUGGUGGGGCCAUUGUGGCCUUUUGACCUUACAAAUAGGAGCAUUCACCGUGGGGGAGAAUGGGAGGAAUGGGUGGCAUCGGCACCAGUGAGAUGGCAGCUCUGACAAGAUGGGGGUGGCAACCCCUCCUGUCUGCUCCAGCUGCUCUGUGGGGCAGGGAGGUUGGGGGCAGCAGGUGUGCUCCAGGCUGCUACUUGGCGCCUCUGUAGCCUCUGGAGUGACUGUCUAGCCUGGAGGAAGAGUCCCUUGGAGCUGUCUGUGUCUGGUUUCUGUGUCUGGGAGACUGUGUGUGGCCACAUGCAUGUUGUUCUAAGUCUCCAUGGCCCUGUGCCACCUCCGUGUGUGUGUAUGCACGAGGUUGUGUGGGCACCCACCGCCUGCCUGGACUGCUGGGCCCCCUGGGAGCGGCUGCGGGUGUGUGCCCUGGCCUUCUCAAGCUGACGCUCUUUCGCCUGGGAUGCCCAGACCUGAUCUCUCACUUCAUGCCUGGUCCUGAUGCCUCUGGUCCUCUCCCCGACCCUCCCAGUCUGCCACCUGAGGGGUGGACAAGAAGCUGUCCCUGUGUCUCCCAAAUGGGGGUGGAGUAGGAAGGAAAGCAGCAUUUGUGGAGCAUCUGUGUGCCCAUCGCUGUGCUGGGUGUCUCACAUCCCAUCGCUCAUGCAACAGGAUCUCUGAAGACAGCUCCCUUUGAAAACUGAUUAAGGGCAGGGAGGUCCCCAGCUCCUUGCUGCCUUCCUCAUUCCACCUUCCUUUGCUCUGUCCCCGGGCUCCCCUGCGCCAGGCUCAAGGCCUUACUGCGGCCAGGCUGUGCACAUGCUACCUGCCCCAGCCGGCAGUGCCAGCAAUGGGCGAUUACAGGGAGGGAGAAGAUCCCCUGCCACGAGCAGGGCCCCCACACCAAGCCCUGCCCUAGGAGAAUGACACCCCCACCCACACACUGACCCUGGGCUCCUUCACAUCAGUCCGUCCCUGCUCUAGCCCAGAGGUGGUAGGCCAUGAACGCAGAAUGGAAGCCUGCUGUCUGCUGGUGGUGGGGGAAGUGCCUUGAGCUAGAGCUUCCUCCCUCAGUGAUGGGCAUGGAGCAGGUCAGGGCUCUCUGCCCGCCCCAGUGCCCUGCUUGUGUGCUCCAAGGAGCCGUGCUGUGCCAGUGGUCAGGGGAGGAGCUGCUCUGCCCCUGUUUCCAUGGCCCCAGGAGUCAACCCUGUGUGGGACCCACACCCCCUGGGAGCCCUUUAAUUCCUUCUGUGUUUGCCUUGGCUUGAGCGUGGGGGGAGAAGGCCAUGGUGGGUGGGGCAGAGACCCUGUUUCCUCCUCACCCACCCCCAGGUCUCAGGAGGAUCUGGGCAGCCUGCUGGCUGCUCCCCUGCCGCUGACUGAAUCAUUUCUAUAUUUGGCCAGCGAGCCACGUGGGUGGGGGAAACCACUCCACUGCGGCUGCACUUCUGACAGCAGGGGUGGGGGAGCUGGCGGCCCAGGCUGCAGCAGUGGGC
rnacentral:lncRNA from 1 species